rnacentral:rRNA from 1 species
UACGUAGGGUGCGAGCGUUAAUCGGAAUUACUGGGCGUAAAGCGUGCGCAGGCGGUUCUGAAAGUCAGCUGUGAAAGCCCCGGGCUUAACCUGGGAAUUGCGGUUGAAACUACAGGGCUAGAAUCUGGCAGAGGGGGGGGUGGAAUUCCACGUGUAGCAGUGGAAUGCGUAGAGAUCCGGAAGGAACACCAAUGGCGAAGGCAGCUCGCUGGACGGUACGUGACGCUGAGGCGCGAAAGCGUGGGAGCAACAGGG